UAGCUCAGUUGGUUGGAGCCUGGUGCUGAUAACACCAAGGUUGCAGGUUCAAUCCCUUU
rnacentral:tRNA from 1 species